UACGGAGGUUGCCAGCGUUGUUCGGAAUCACUGGGCGUAAAGGGCGUGCAGGCGGCUUAGCAAGUCAGAUGUGAAAGCCCUGGGCUUAACCCAGGAAGUGCAUUUGAAACUGCUUUGCUUGAGUAUGGGAGAGGAGAGUGGAAUUCCCAGUGUAGAGGUGAAAUUCGUAGAUAUUGGGAGGAACACACGUGGCGAAGGCGACUCUCUGGACCAAUACUGACGCUUAGACGCGAAAGCGUGGGGAGCAAACAGG
rnacentral:rRNA from 1 species